AGCUGCGAUAAAUAGUGCGAAUUGCAAACGCAUUGAGCACAAAAAUUUCGAAUGCACAUUGCACCAUUGGGUUGAUUCCCGAUGGUACGUCUGGUUGAGGGUCAAU
rnacentral:rRNA from 1 species